rnacentral:rRNA from 1 species
UGGAGAAUUGAGGGGGGCUGCUCCUAGUACGAGAGGACCGGAGUGGACGCAUCACUGGUGUUCGGGUUGUCAUGCCAAUGGCACUGCCCGGUAGCUAAAUGCGGAAGAGAUAAGUGCUGAAAGCAUCUAAGCACGAAACUUGCCCCGAGAUGAGUUCUCCCUGAGACUUUAAGUCUCCUGAAGGAACGUUAAAGACGAUGACGUUGAUAGGCCGGGUGUGUAAGCGCAGCGAUGCGUUGAGCUAACCGGUACUAAUGAACCGUGAGGCUUAACCUU